rnacentral:antisense_RNA from 1 species
CGUAACCGAAGAUUACCGCAGGAUUCAAUGUGGGGUUAGUUACCAUGCGGACAUCACCACCACCAGGUGCCCAGGUGUCGUAUAAGCCACCAAAGAACAUUGCUUUAAGUACCAACAACAAGGCUCCGCCUCCUAGGAUGAUUAGGUGGAAACCAAUGAUGGUAGUCAUCUUGUUCUUGUCUUUCCA